GCUAGAUCUGUGCAUCGGCCUCGAUUUGCGCGUAUUUAUCGCGCUCGUGAUCGCCACUGAAAUUCAUUUCGUUAUCAGCGCUCCAUCGGCGCGCAACGAUCCCGUCCCGUAAUUCCGCGAUUCCGCGAUUCCUCUCAGACCAGACCGUGUGUCCGUGUGUCUGUGUGACUGUGUGACCGUGUGGUGGCAUUCCCCUGGGACCUGGCACCUGGGACCUGGCACCUGGGACCUGGUCCCGUGCUGCAGUUUCAUUUUGUGACCGACACUAACGGGUAAUGGCUGGCCGCAGGACUACUCGUUUUUGCGAUCACAAUACUGAAAUUGCAGCAACGAGCAGCGAAACUGUGGAAUGUGUGCAAAACAGUGUGAAAAGUGAUCUAUUAGUGAUUAAGGGAAACAGAUUCCAGUGGAACUGUUUUUUUGUUUUUGUUUUUGUUUUUUUUUAAUUUUAGUUGCUAUGCUUUAGUUGGAACUCUUAAAUCAAGUAUUUAAGAGUGAAGAGUAGGUAAACACAGGAUUCAAGCGGACACCUUUGGUGGCACUCGAUCGGUGCAAAACGGGUGCACCGGACGAAGGUGAGAGAGCAUUCCCUGGCGCGGAGACUGAUUAGUUAAUCAGUGACUCGAGACUCACUCGCGAAUGACCUUGGUGCUGGGAUUGAUACUCGUACUCUGUGGAAGUGUUACUACAGGAACGAACAUUGAAAGUAUUUACAAACGGGCGAAAUGUCACAGCAAAUGGAAUUUCCAUUUGGCGAUUUCAUAUGUAAUCUGGAACGAACAUUCUCUGUGGUAGAAGAUAGCAGUAUAAUUUCAGUCAGUCAGAUUCCAUCUGCUUGGUCAUUAUUCCCCUCAUGCUUCAAGUCGCUAAAUAAAUUGGGUGUGUUUUCCCGGAACACUCCAGCAAAUGAGGGACCUGGGAGGUGGCUGCUUGAUAUGUAUUGUAAAUGGAAAUUUUCGCAGUGUCAAAAUAGUGGCCCAAAACAUGAAACGAACUUAUGGCCCCUCCAUCCAUCCAUCCCAUAUACACGCACCCAUGUCAACACAUGGGGGCGGGUGGGGGUUGAGGAUACAUAAACAUGUCAGAUACUUUGUGUGUCUACGAGAUACAUUUACAUUUCCCAUAACAACUAGCGACAUUUAUGCUAGGUGGCUCGUUUUGUAUUCUGUUUUUGUGCCUGUCCCAAGGACCCACUUUUCCCCAUUACACACACAGUUUUCAUUCCCCUGUCGGGAAAUGUUGGGAAUUAGUUUCCUCCUGGCCGUCUUCUACUAAUAGCCCGCGUUGCCUCAGUUAUUAUUUAUAUUUGUAGUGGAAAUCCAUUCACUACGAUAUAUAUGUACCCUCUGUCCCAGAAUUCUGUACGCAAGUGUCGGUAAGUCCUGGACAAAUCCGAUGUUGAUUGGCAGUCCUAGGGCUUCCACUGCCACGUCCACUCUCCUCCAGCGAUUUGUAUUGAUUUUGCUGUGAUAUUAACAUGCGGAAUGUUUUGCUCACAUAAUGUUCGGCACUUCUUUACGGCUUUCUUUACGACUUGAUGGCUGCUGAUGGUCCCACUGCCUUAUUGGGGGUUAUUAGAGCGAAAGGCAUUUGCUCAAAGUAUAUUCUAUGCAAUAAACAUUCAAUCAAUAAUCAGAAAUCAUUACUUUCAGGGUUCUCCGUGUCCUCCGAAGUUUCAAGUAAAACCAACAAUUUACACCUUUCUUCAAGCGAUUUAAAGAUGAAGCAAGCUUAUGAGAGGAGGAUGCCUUCUUAAAGUUUCAUUUCAUUUCAGGAGAGGCCGCAUGGGGAGCCAUUACUCAAAUUACGUGGAAGAGCGCCAGGGUGGGGCGGGAAGGCGGGCGGAGAUUCCCGUGAAAAACAUUCCGCAGUUAAUUAGGUAAAGCGGCCACAGCUUCCUGGGAAAACCCUGGAAGUGAAAUGCUCUUUGGAUGAUUGGAAAGCCAUUGAGCGGCCACAGCAUACUGGGAGCACAUUGGAAUAGACUGGAAUGCUCCUUGGCGGACCCAAAGAUCACUUAUGAAAAACAGCGAACAAAAAAAACGAAAAGCUAACAUUUCGCAAAAUUAAUUUUGAAGGACUACAACUCUGGUUUUUUUGUUCUAACCUCAAAAAACCAACAUGGUCAAAACAUGGUGGACUUUUCAAAUUCAAAAUGGCGGAUCUAAUAAGGCCGGAUACUCCCCGGCCUUGCUACAUCUACAUCUACAUCUACAUCUUCUCCCUUGAAAUAGAUCUUUUGAAGAGAAAAGAGCUCGGUAAAUCUCGAAACAAGAAAACUGACUUCAAAUUCGUAAUCAGCGACCCCAAAAGCCCAAAAAACCCAAAAAACCCUAAAAUACAUAGGAAUAUCGAAUAUGAAGAAUAUUACUGUCACGAUUAUUCUGGCUGUCUGGCAGCUCGGCCAUUCUCUACGAUACUUGUGAAAAGUAUCGAGUCCAUCUACUCAGCGUCGUGCAUCAGCAUAAAUUUAUUACUUGCCGCAAAAAAAAGAAGUCAAAAAACGAAAAUUUUCGCGAUGCCGUUGAAACUACAAGAAGCGUUUGAUUUAUUAUUUGAAAAAGUAUCGGAAGAGAGUUUGGAUACUCCGAUAAUUUCCAACGAUAUGGAAGAGAUUAACCAGAAAAUAUAUAAAGCCUUCUACGAUAUAAACUCCAUUU